UAGGGAAUCUUCGGCAAUGGACGAAAGUCUGACCGAGCAACGCCGCGUGAGUGAAGAAGGUUUUCGGAUCGUAAAACUCUGUUGUUAGAGAAGAACAAGGAGGUUAGUAACUGAACGUCCCCUGACGGUAUCUAACCAGAAAGCCACGCCUAACUACGUGCCAGCAGCCGCGGUAAUACGUAGGUGGCAAGCGUUGUCCGGAUUUAUUGGGCGUAAAGCGAGCGCAGGCGGUUUCUUAAGUCUGAUGUGAAAGCCCCCGGCUCAACCGGGGAGGGUCAUUGGAAACUGGGAGACUUGAGUGCAGAAGAGGAGAGUGGAAUUCCAUGUGUAGCGGUGAAAUGCGUAGAUAUAUGGAGGAACACCAGUGGCGAAGGCGGCUCUCUGGUCUGUAACUGACGCUGAGGCUCGAAAGCGUGGGGAGCAAACAGG
rnacentral:rRNA from 1 species